CUGGAACAGCUGCUUUUACAGCUCCUGGAAACUAACGAGGACAGCUUUGGCGCAUUUUCAGGGGUCAACAGUAAUUUAAAGGAAGCAGUUCAGGCAGGCACCAUUUUCUUUUAUUACUGAGUGAAGUUUUUUUUUUUUUUCAAAUACUUAUUGAGGUGAUGUGAGAAUUAGAAAACAGUGACUCACUGAUGAAGAAAUGAAAAUUAAUAGAAUCUUAAGAAAGCCAGAGUUAUUGGUAUCUACUCUUGAUUUAUUGCCUCAGUAGGAUGAAGAUUAGAUUCAUCCUCGGGGUGAAAGAUGCGACCGGGAAGCGGCAUUCUUCUCUAACUGAACACGCCUUUUUUCAGUGUCAACUUUUUUAUUUCAAAGGAAAGACUCCCCCAUAUGGUAAAUUAAGGCAGCUAUGAAGAAGAGCUGUUCUGCUGAGAGCUUUCUUCAGGGAUCCUGCAAUCACAUAGCAUAGACUGUGGCUGUUAAACUUGGUAAUGUGAAUUCCAAAGUUCCACAAGUGGUCCAGGGAAC
rnacentral:lncRNA from 1 species